rnacentral:rRNA from 1 species
AUUGAACGCUAGCGGGAUGCUUUACACAUGCAAGUCGAACGGAGUGGCGGACGGGUGAGUAAUCUAGCGGAAAGUGCGCAGUAGCGGGGUGUAACUACUCAAAAGAGUGUCUAAUCCCGCAUACUAUUGGAGCGGCCGAUAUCGGAUUAGCUAGUUGGUGGGGUAAAGGCUCACCAAGGCCACGAUCCGUAGCGGGUUUGAGAGGACGACCAGACACACUGGGACUGAGACACGGCCCAGACUCCUACGGGAGGCAGCAGUGGGGAAUAUUGGACAAUGGGCGAAAGCCUGAUCCAGCCAUCCCGCGUGUAUGAUGAAGGCCUUCGGGUUGUAAAGUACUUUUGGCAGAGAGGCGGUAUCUGCAGAAUAAGCACCGGCUAACUACGUGCCAGCAGCCGCGGUAAUUC